rnacentral:rRNA from 1 species
GACGAACGCUGGCGGCGUGCUUAACACAUGCAAGUCGAGCGGUAAGGCCUUUCGGGGUACACGAGCGGCGAACGGGUGAGUAACACGUGGGUGACCUGCCCUCCACUUCGGGAUAAGCCUGGGAAACUGGGUCUAAUACCGGAUAGGACCAGCUGAUGCAUGUUGGUUGGUGGAAAGUUUUUUCGGUGGGGGAUGGGCCCGCGGUCUAUCAGCUUGUUGGUGGGGUGAUGGCCUACCAAGGCGACGACGGAUAGCCGGCCUGAGAGGGUGAUCGGCCACACUGGGACUGAGACACGGCCCAGACUCCUACGGGAGGCUG